AAGGAUUGUAGAAAAUAAUAAUAUUUUGAUGGUCAUGUUAGGAAGGAAGUACAGGGAGAAUCAUCUAUGGUGAAUAUCCUAGUGGUAACCAAUCGCUGAGUUAAAAUUCUGAAAGUAACAGAGUUAGUAAUCAAGUUGAGAAUAAAAAGUAUAAAGGGUACAAUUAAUGCUAAUGGGAUGAAUAUCGUCAAGAGAAAGGC
rnacentral:misc_RNA from 1 species